GCCGCCGUGGCGGAAUUGGUAGACGCUGCGGACUUAAAAUCCGCUUCCCGCAAGGGAGUGGGGGUUCGAGUCCCUCCGGCGGCA
rnacentral:tRNA from 1 species